rnacentral:misc_RNA from 1 species
GAAAUGCGAUACGUAAUGUGAAUUGCAGAAUUCCGUGAAUCAUCGAAUCUUUGAACGCACAUUGUGCCCCUUGGUAUUCCAGGGGGCAUGCCUGUUUGAGCGUCAUUUCCUUCUCAAACAUUCUGUUUGGUAGUGAGUGAUACUCUUUGGAGUUAACUUGAAAUUGCUGGCCUUUUCAUUGGAUGUUUUUUUUCCAAAGAGAGGUUUCUCUGCGUGCUUGAGGUAUAAUGCAAGUACGGUCGUUUUAGGUUUUACCAACUGCGGCUAAUCUUUUUUUAUACUGAGCGUAUUGGAACGUUAUCGAUAAGAAGAGAGCGUCUAGGCGAACAAUGUUCUUAAAGUUUGACCUCAAAUCAGGUAGGAGUACCCGCUGAACUUAAGC